CCUAACUCUUCUGUAUGACAGCUUAACUGUUUUCACUUGACUUCUACUUCCUCUUUAUGGGGAAACCACUACUAAGAGGUACUGUGAGAAAAACUGCUGGGGAAGGGGUUUCUAGAUCCCAAAAUAAGUAUAAGAGAUACCACAGUAUUAGCAUAAGAGUCAUAUUAUUAGUUUUUUAUAAUUCUGAAGCUUCAUUUUGAUUACAGUUUGAAAGAGCAGCUAAAGAGAAGUGUCUAUACAUGGGAGGAGAGCGCAAACAUACAUAGAGACCUUGAAGGUGAAUCUUCUAAGGCAGGGAAGAAGCAGAGACUUAUAUCCAUUGAAUCAAAAUGCAAGAACAUACCAUAUCCAAGGCUGACCAGUUCUCUGGUGGUUACUGCUACUGAUCCAUCCAAACUGCUGGACUUCUUCAUACCCAAGGUCUUCAGGCAGUAUCUAAUGGGAAGUCAACUUAAAGGAACCAGACCAUCAUUUCCCAGCCUGCCCUUUUAUUCUGUAGCUACCUCUAUGUGAGGAAAGGAUAGAAAACAUUCAAGACAUCAUACGGGCUUACGAUCUACAGAUUCCAACCAGUAGCAGUGGCUGACUCCUACAUAGAAGACUGGGAACUACAAACAGGCUGGGGUCACCUCAGUGACAUCUGACGCUGUCCAACCAGAAGUCUGACUUGUGUGUUGCAGGAAUUGAAGAAUGUACUAAAAGACUAAAAUAUUUC
ensembl:lncRNA